UUAUUAAAGUCUCUAUUAUUUUCCAAUGCACAUCAAUGGGAGCAUUUGCUAUAAGAAUAACUACAUGAAUAACUCUCCUCAUUCUCCAAUUUUCUUUUUCCAUUAAAUUUAUUCCCCUUCAACCUUUGGAUGAGCGACUGUUUUUUUCAAUUUUAUUUUUAGGGUUGUAUUUUCUUCUUCCUGUUUAUUGAUUUUUCCUAAAUAGUGUUGUUGUUCUCUUUAGAUUCGCACAUUCAGUCCAGGGAUCUGAACGAGAGGGUUGGAGAAAUCAGAUUCGCUUAUGCAAGAAAAAAGAGGGAGGAAGAGAUGGCUAAAGAGAAGGAGCAGAAUAAUUUAUUCAAAGUUGUUGUCAGUCAGCUUAAAGUUCCAACUGGUUAUUAUUUCACUGUGUAAUAUUUUUUGGGAUUAUAGUUAAUGGGUUUCUGUUAUUCAGAUACAAUGGAGAAAUGGGAUGCAGAAAGUAUUGGAGGCGAAGCAAAAUAAUCAGAAUAAAUCGAAAGGAGUAUAAUCAGAACAAAUCAAAAUGAGUAUAAUCAAAACAAAUCAAAAUGAGUAUAAUUAGAACAAAUCAACUGACAUCUUAGUUUAAGUUGGUUUUUUACCGUUUAUGUUACAAAUGAUUCUAACAAUUUUAAAUAUAUAGGUAGGAUUUUACUCUGCAAAAAUGGAAUGGUCCUAAAUGACAAAUACAGGGAUUUCCAUGUGUGAGCCGAAUGUUGCUUAACAAUGAAUCGUAUUGCGCCCCCUGUGGGGAAGGGGAUGAGAUGUUUUUUUUUAAUGUUUUGUCAUACUUUUGUUUUCAGGGGCAUAGUCAGGGAAAAAAAAGAAACUAAUAUAUAAUAAUUUGAUGGACAUCUACUUUAGUUUGUGUUAUUAUUAUCAACCUAUUUGGAUUUUAGUAUUUUAACUUAGGGAAAUGCUAACAAGUGUCCCAGGGGCACUCUUUAAUAGCUUUAAAAAGUAAGUUUUUCUUGGAAAUAUGCGUAAUUAAUGCAUCGAAAAUUGAAAUGGUGAACUUUUGAAAGAAUAUUUUCUUUAUUUAGAAUGCUUAAAGAGUGCCACUGGGCAGUCGUUAGCAUGACCCUUUAACUUAUUAAAACUUUCAAACUUGCCUUUUUAGUAUUCCAAUAAAUUGAUAUUCGAAAUCAUAAUGUUCAAUAUUUGAUAAUUAUGUUAAUAAAUAAAAUAAGUAUUGAUGUAUAUGAUCUAAUUAAUAAAAUAAAAUCAAUAAUUACAUAUUUCACCAUUCAUAUUUGUACUUUUGAAAUUUUCAAAGUUACGAUAUUUUUCAAUAUUUUUGUUAGCACAGGUAAACCAAAAGUUUGGUUUUGUCUCUUCAUCUAUAUUAAAAAAAUGAAAACAAAAUUAUUUUUAAAGUAAUAUAUUGUAAUUAUUGUAUUUUAGUAUUUCAACAAUAACUCUUUAUAUUCAAAUUUCACAAA